rnacentral:lncRNA from 1 species
GGCUUCCCCAGCUCUGACCACAGCCUGCAGCCCAGAUGACCCAGGACAGGGAUGCAUGAAGGAGCAUAGUCAGAGCAGUGCCCGCCGCGGUAUUGAAGGUGGGAGUGCCACCUGGAGGCCCCAGGGACACAGAUGUUCCAGAAUGGGCAUCCUAAAGCCAGCCGCACCACCUCCCCCGUUCCUGGGGACCCACGCUCUCCCUCGCCCAGCCUGGGAAGCAGGGAGACUGCUGUCCGCUGCCAGGCCCGGCAGGAGGCCAAGGUCAAGCCCAAGGAGAGGAACCAGGGCGAGAACAAGUGGUUCUCAGGAACUGCGGUUUUGGAUAUCUUUUGUUUCAAUCAUUAAAUAUAAAAAGUCCCUGAAAGCCUUUUGAAAAAGGCUCCCACCUCCUCCUGGCCCACCCACCAUUCUGCUUUGUGGCCUGGCCUCUGUCCCCCACAGCCAGCACCCCCAGAACAGACUGUCCUGUUCCUUCCACCUCUGCAGCCCACCAUCCGGCCCUGCUGCCUCCUGCCUCCCCUCCCUGGGACCCUGGCCUGCUUGUGCCUCCCAAGGCCCCUUGAGAGCUCUCUGCAGCCCCAGUCCGGGAGCAGAGGACAGAGGUGCUCGGCAGGGUCUAUCUGAGCCCCUGAAGCCCACUGGGAGGCAGCCGGGAGGGUCCUCCCCCAGUGCCGUGGCCUGCACCCUCUGGGAUUCACUCCCACACACCUUCGCUCAUUCAUCAACAAGGGUGCAAGGAGCACGUCCAUGCAACAAGGCUCCAGUGCCCAGGGCCGCCUGCACUCACAGAGCUUAUGCUGCAGCCCUGGCCACCUGCCCUGUACCCACGCAGCAGGGCCUGUGACCACCAGAGUGCAGGAGGAAGGCAGAAACCACACAGCUACUGGGGGCUGGGCCUGCGAAGACUGACCGGGCAGUGGGGCCACGGAGGUGCCAGCCACAGCCAUGGCAAGCAGGAGUUGCCCAGGGGCUGAGCCACAGAACAAGGGAGCGGGACACUUAGGCCUGGAGCCUUCAGGAGGGAGCCGUGGCUGCUCGCGGUAAUCCCAGCACUUCAGGAGGCUGAGGCGGGAGGAUCACUUGAGUCCAGGAGUUUGAGACCAGCCUGGGCGACAUAGCAAGACUUCGUCUCUACAAGCAAGUUUAAAAAUUAGCUGGACAUGGUGGCGUGCUCCUGUAGUCCCAGCUACUCAGGAAGCUGAGGUAGGAGGAUUGCUUGAGCCCAGGAGGUUGAGGCUGCAGUGAGCUGUGAUCGUGCCACUCCUCUCCAGCCUGGGUGAUGGAGCAAGACCCCAUCUCUAAAAUAAAAUAAAAAUACAAAAAGGAGGAAGCCGAGCAGCUGGGCCAGGCCUCUGAGAAGGAAACACCUGCCAGCCCCACUAGUGUCCCUAAGGGCUGCGGGGAGCCUGGUUCUCGAGGCAGCCACAAAACAGCACGCUACAUCAGCCGGGUGUGGUGGCUCAUGCCUAUAAUCCCAGCACUUUGGGAGGCCGAGGCGGGCAGAUCACCUGAGGUCAGGAGUUCGAGACCAGCCUGGCCAACUUAGUGAAACCCCAUCUCUAGUAAAAGUACAAAAAUUAGCCGGGCGUGGUGGUGGCGCAAGCCUGUAAUCCCAGCUACUCGGGAGGCGGAGGCAGGAGAAUCGCUUGAACCCGGGAGGCAGAGGUUGCAGUGAGCCGAGAUUGCGCCACUGCACUCCAGCCUGGGUGACAGAGUGAGUAAGACUCCGUCUCAAAAAACAAACAAACACACAAACAAACAAACAAACAAAAACAAAGGAUAAACCUCAGAGUCUAAUGAGACUAGUUCCCUGCUGGGGUGGGGAGCUGGAACAGGGUGGGGGGAUGAAGUUAGACUUUUUUGAGUAAACGUUUUUGUAUAGUUUUGACUUUGGAAUCAAAGUAAUUUGGUAUGUUAUACUGUUAUACUCAAAAGUAAAAUAAACAA